UGUCUAGCUUCUGUCUGAACACCUAUGA
rnacentral:piRNA from 1 species